CGAAGUACGCAUUUCCAAGUGGACAUCGUCUCGUGUUUUGGAAACGAUGGAUCUCCUCUUGUAUACACAUUCAAUUGGCAAAUGGUACGACUACCAAUGAAGUUCAUUUGAUAAUUCAAAAAGACGAGGGACGCCAAAGCGAUG